rnacentral:rRNA from 1 species
AUGCGUGAUCAGGUCGGCAUCGACCUGGACGGCUUCCCCCUCGACCAUGAGUUCUCGGACGACUAUGGGCUAGAGGAAGAGGACGAGUGCAACAUCGAAGUGGAGCCUUUGUUCGAGGACGAGCUCGCCAACCAAGCCGCCGGGCCGAAGCCGAAGCGCAAGAGCAAAUGCACGAAGGCGUACACAGCUGCCGAGGACAAGCUUCUAUGCAAGUGUUGGCGAGACAUUGGACUAGACCCAAAGACGGGCGCCGAGCAAAAGCAUUCAACCUUUUGGACUCGUGUGCACCACGAGUUUCAUGAGCGCAAGAAGUUUCCACCCUACCAAUUUGUGAGCACGCGCGGGUGGGUCUCCAUUUCCAAGCGGUGGAGGGUAAUUCAACAAGAGUGCAACAAGUUUUGUGCAACCCUUGAGAGCGUCAAGGCCCGCCCCGUGAGCGGCAUCGGCAUGCAAGACAUGGUAUGA